ACUGACAAAACGUUUAAAUUGGAUGUGAAAUACAUUAAUGCAACUAAAGGACGUGGUAUAUUUGCAAAAGGCCCAAUCUGCAAAGGAGACUUUGUUGUCGAGUAUAGGGGAGAUAUGAUAAGCGAUGCAGAAGCUCAAAGAAGAAGAAAACUUUACAAUCCAGUGUGUGCUGCAUUUAUGUUUGCUUUCAACUGGAGAGGAAAAACAUGGUGUAUUGAUGCCUCUACAGAGGACGAGUCGUUUGGCCGGCUGGUCAACGACGAUCACCAAAGCCCAAAUUGUC